GUUGUCAGCAGCCCCUCCUUCCUCUGUUUUCUUCUUCGUUGGUCAUUAGUAGAUGUUCUCUCCUCUUUUGAAUGAAUCCCUGUUGGAGAGAAUAAUUACUCUUAUGGGAGUCAGGGAUGUUCGUUUCCCGCGCACGGAUCCGGAGCGGCUGUGGGAUUAUGGGAGUUUUUGUCUCUGGUUAUCUCUGCCAGAUUAAAGUGGUCAAAGAGAGAAUCCAUUACUGUCAGAAUAACUUUUACUGAAGUCUCCAAAGAGUACUUUUUUCAG